UGGACCAAGACCUCCCCCCAUGUGAGCAGGCUUCCUCCUCCCCCAACAACCGUUGCCACCACGCCCAGAAACGUCCUUAAGCCCUGGCCCUCAGGGGAAAGGUAACAGGAGGCCAGAGCCGGGACCAUGUGACGGCGCUGGCCCUCGCCACCGCCGUCCCCCCACCCUGGCCCCAGGCCCGGCACCAUGAUGUUCCGAGACCAGGUGGGCAUCCUCGCUGGCUGGUUCAAAGGCUGGAAUGAGUGUGAGCAGACAGUGGCCCUUCUGUCACUUCUGAAACGGGUCACCCGUACCCAGGCCCGCUUCCUGCAGCUCUGCCUGGAGCACUCACUGGCGGACUGCAAUGACAUCCACCUGCUGGAGUCGGAGGCCAACAGUGCUGGCCAGGCGCGGUGGCUCAAGCCUGUAAUCCCAGCACUUUGGGAGGCCGAGGCAGGCGGAUCACGAGGUCAGGAGAUCGAGACCAUCCUGGCUAACACGGUGAAACCCCAUCUCUACUAAAAAUACAAAAAAAUUAGCCGGGCGUCGUGGCGGGCACCUGUAGUCCUAGCUACUCGGGAGGCUGAGGCAGGAGAAUGGUGUGAACCCGGGAGGCGGAGCUUGCAGUGAGCCAAGAUUGUACCACU
rnacentral:sRNA from 1 species